rnacentral:rRNA from 1 species
UACGGAGGGUGCAAGCGUUAUCCGGAAUCAUUGGGUUUAAAGGGUCCGCAGGCGGAUUUAUAAGUCAGCGGUGAAAGCCUGAUGCUUAACAUCAGAACUGCCAUUGAUACUGUAAGUCUUGAAUUCGAUCGAAGUGGGCGGAAUAUGACAUGUAGCGGUGAAAUGCUUAGAUAUGUCAUAGAACACCGAUAGCGAAGGCAGCUCACUAGGUCUGGAUUGACGCUCAGGGACGAAAGCGUGGGGAGCAAACAGG